rnacentral:lncRNA from 1 species
AGCAGUAAGAAUAUUUGCAGUAAUGUAAAUGACAAUAAUAAAAAGCAAACCAGAGAUUACGCCGAUUUUUAGAGUGGUUCGGUCAAAUGACCUACUCCACUUGCAAGGCCCCUCUUCGAUGAGGCUCCCACCUUCCAUUAGCAAGUCUCUUGAAAUGGAAGGGUAAACACCCCUCUUACAACCUUUUACAAGCAGCUCAACCUCUUACAAAUUUUCAAUAAGAAAGGAGGAGGAGAACUCUCUAGCAAAUUAAAAACAAGACUUGCUAAGACUUUCUAAGACUUUUCUCUCAAUCAAAAAUGCUUCUCAAAAGUUGUAACCUC